rnacentral:rRNA from 1 species
CACUCCUACGGGAGGCAGCAGUGGGGAAUAUUGCACAAUGGGCGCAAGCCUGAUGCAGCCAUGCCGCGUGUAUGAAGAAGGCCUUCGGGUUGUAAAGUACUUUCAGCGGGGAGGAAGGCAAUACGGUUAAUAACCGUGUUGAUUGACGUUACCCGCAGAAGAAGCACCGGCUAACUCCGUGCCAGCAGCCGCGGUAAUACGGAGGGUGCAAGCGUUAAUCGGAAUUACUGGGCGUAAAGCGCACGCAGGCGGUCUGUCAAGUCGGAUGUGAAAUCCCCGGGCUCAACCUGGGAACUGCAUUCGAAACUGGCAGGCUUGAGUCUUGUAGAGGGGGGUAGAAUUCCAGGUGUAGCGGUGAAAUGCGUAGAGAUCUGGAGGAAUACCGGUGGCGAAGGCGGCCCCCUGGACAAAGACUGACGCUCAGGUGCGAAAGCGUGGGGAGCAAACAGGAUUAGAAACCUGGUAGUCCCAUG